GGUGGGGUGGGGGGGCUGCCUCCUGACCUUCCUCCUGGCCUGGGGAUUCUUGUCUCUUUCAGAGUCAAGGUCAAGGGGUCAAGGUCAAGUUCGCUAAGUGACUGUGGGCGGGGCAGGGCACCUCCUCCCUCUGGGCUCCUUUCCCCAAACCCACCCCCUUGAAAGUGGGGCUGUCACUCCACCAGCCAACAUCAAGGACGGUCCCACUGCAUCCCCAGUGGGAGCGGGUGGGGCAAGGUGCAAGGCAGAACAGGAUGUCGGGUCAGUUGACUUCCCCCUGCAAGGGACCCUUUGGCCCAGAAACCACUAGGAAGGAGGCUCCAUGUGGUCCGAGUCUGGGCCUGGAUGUGUGUAUGUUGUGGGGGGGUGCGAGGGGGAGACGACAGUGUCCCUGAGGCCACCUGCCGUAGCAUCUGUCUGGCAGAACCAGGCUGGAAGCCCAGCUGCUCUGCUGGCUUUCCGGCACACCUGCCCAGCUCCGGGACUCGGUGUUUUCAUCUGUGAAAUGGGCGUGGCCUUGUUGCUUAGCCCCAUGCGCCCCCCCUCCUUGGGGGGCCCUGCUGCCCUCGUGCAGAAUGGGGGUCCACUGCCUUCUGAGCCUGAGAGCCACGCCAGGGCAGCAACCGGGCCCCGUGCCCGUCUCCGCAGCACAGGAUCAGGGCCUGGUAGAGGACUCGCCAGACAGGACCGGGGAGUCACCUGAGGCAUAUGUCAAUAACAUGGCGCGGGCAAGAUAGACAAUGUGUGUGCCAAUGGGACAGGGUGGCUUGUUUUUUUAAUAACAGCUUUAUUGAGAUAUUAAUUCACCCACUUCAAGUGUAUAAUUCACUAGUUGUUAGUACGUUCACGGAGCUGUGCAAACACUACCACUCUCUAAUUCUGGAAAGUUCCAUUACCCCAGAAAGAAGCCCUAUCCCUUCCCCUCCUGCAGACCCUGGCCCCCACGAGCCCCCUUCCCGUCCGCAGAUGAGCCUGUUCCGGACGUGUCACCCACGUGGACUCACACCCCGCGUGGCCUUCCGUGUCCGGGUCCCUCCCUGAGCGUCCCCGCCCCCAUCAACGGUCACUCCCCACCUUCUCCCCCGCCCCCGCCCCCUGAGCCCCCUUCCCGUCCGCGGAUGAGCCCGUUCUGGACGUGUCACCCACGUGGACUCACACCCCGCGUGGCCUUCCGUGUCUGGGUCCCCCCCUGAGCGUCGUGGGCUCGGGGUCCGUCCCCGGGACAGUGUGGGGGGGGGCCUGUGCUCGUGGCCAAGGGACGCUCCCGUGCGUGGGGGACACACUGUGUGUAUCUGCUCUUCAGCUGAUGGGCAUCUGGCCUGUUUCCAGCCUGGGCUCUGGUGAAUCACACUGCUGUGAAUGGGGGCAGGUGUUACGGUGACCACAACGUGUUGACUAGUGUGUCUCCACCCCAAGCCCACCGCCAGGUCCGAGGCCAAGAAGAUGGGAGUGGGAAAAUCCAACAAGCAGCGAUGCUGAAGGUUCACUGGAAGCCAUUCGGGAUCCUUCUCUGCGGGCGCCCAGGGCGCUGUGGGGGGCUGAGCAGCCUCUCUGGCCCCCACCCAACAGAUGCCAGGAGCACCCCCAGUGUGACCACAGACAUCUCGGACAUGGCCCUGUGUCCCCAGGUUGAGAACCAGCGGGCUGACAGCGGAGCGGGCUUGGGCCUCUGCUACCCAACGCGGCCCCCGGCCCCGGAGACGUGGCCACGCUGGGCUGAGGUGCGCUGCGAGGGCAAAAGACACGCCGGAUUCCAAAGGCUCCGUGGAAGAAGACACAAAGAACGUAAAAGACCACACUGCUAAUUUCUCACAUUGGUUACAAGGCGAGAGGGUAGUAUUUUGCCUCUGUUGGGAUGAAUAAAACAUGCCA